UANUAAUUCUAGAGCUAAUACAUGCCACUAUGCCCUGACCCGCGAGGGGACGGGUGGAUUUAUUAGAACAGAACCAACCGGUUGUGGCUUCGGCUGCUUCCGUUGCACUCUGUGAUGACUCUGGAUAACUUCACUGAUCGCAGUCGGCCUUGUGUCGGCGACGGAUCUUUCAAAUGUCUGCCCUAUCAAUUUUCGAUGGUAGGUGACCUGCCUACCAUGGUGAUAACGGGUAACGGGGAAUCAGGGUUCGAUUCCGGAGAGGGAGCCUGAGAAAUGGCUACCAACUU
rnacentral:rRNA from 1 species